UACAGAGGUCUCAAGCGUUGUUCGGAUUCAUUGGGCGUAAAGGGUGCGUAGGCGGCGCGGUAAGUCGGGUGUGAAAUCUCGGAGCUUAACUCCGAAACUGCAUUCGAUACUGCCGUGCUUGAGGACUGGAGAGGAGACUGGAAUUCCCGGUGUAGAGGUGAAAUUCGUAGAUAUCGGGAGGAACACCAGUGGCGAAGGCGGCUCUCUGGGCAGGAACUGACACUGAGACGCGAAAGCGUGGGGAGCAAACAGG
rnacentral:rRNA from 1 species